UUUUUUUUUUUUUUUUAGAUAGCGUUUCACUCUUUUUGCCCAGGCAGGUGUGCAAUGGCCUGAUCUUGGCUCAUUGUAACCUCUGCCUCCUGGGUUCAAGUGAUUCUCCUGUCUCCGUCUCCUGAGUAGCUGGGAUUACAGGCAUCCACCCCACGCCAGGCUAAUUUUGCUGUUUUAGUAGAGACAGGGUUUUGUCAGGUUGUACAGGCUGGUCUUGAACUCCUGACCUCAGGUGACCCACCUGCCUCAGCCUCUCAAAGUGCUGGGAUUAUAUGUGUAGGCCACCACGCCCAGCCGAGUUCCCAUCUUUGAAAUUGCUCUUCUACCUCCCUCACUGGGGUAUCAUUUCAUCACACACCCCUUAAAGGCUGGGGUUCUCCAUGGCAUUGUUCUCAUCUCUAAUUUCUUCUCACCCACACAGUUGUCCCCGGUUGUUCCAGAAUUCAUGAUUCCUUAAUCACUUCUAAUGAUCUGAAAUCUACAUCUCUAGCUCGAAACUCUUUCCGAGUGUCACACCGUAGGGCUACUUACAUAUUCCGCAGACACUUAGAUCUGGGAAGAGCAUUGGACAAUAAGUAAGUAAGUAAGUAUUGAACAGUAAGUAAGAUCUGUUCCUGUGCUGAAAACCAAAUGUGCCAGAUUAAUUAAGAAGUUGAAUAUCUGCACACUGUCCUAUAUAGGCAUUUUAAGGAAUUUUCAGGGGGCUAAUUUUAACUUUUUAUGAUUUAUACCAUAUGGGAUGACUUCACUAAAUUAGAAGCUCAAAUGACCAAAAUUAAACUCAUUUCCUCCAUCUUUUCCUUCUCUUGUCCUGCCCAAACCUUCCUUUUUUCCAAUCUUUCGUCUCCUAAAUAACAGUACCAUCAUCCACCCAGACAAUAUAUGGAGUCAUCCAAAUUCUUCCCCCCGGCUUUCCCUGACCUCCUCCAAUCUCAUUAAGUCCUGUAGAAUUUACCUCCUAAAUACUCAUUUCCUUUUCUCCAUUCUCGCUGUCCUGGGCUCAUUUUAAGCUUGCAUCUUCUCUUGCCAGGUCUAAUGUAAUAACCUUCAAACUGAUCUUCCUGUCUCUAGGCUCACUCCCUGUGCUU
rnacentral:lncRNA from 1 species